rnacentral:lncRNA from 1 species
AUGUUAUUGUAUUAUGAAAUCUCACCCCUUCUGCUUGAAAAUGUUGCCCUUCGUAUGGGUAACUUGCAGGUGAUCGUGCUUAGUGUGCAGUUGCCGUCGUGAGUGGCCUUGCCUUCACUGUGUCGUCUAGGUCGCUCUGAUACGUAACGGGAUGGGGUUAUAUGCUAUAACAUGCUUCAUUCUCUUACGUGGAUAAUAUGUUAUUUUCAUUAUGUUAUGAAUUAUGAACUAUUUUUGAUGGGGCCUACGUGCCAAACUGAUUUAUGACUUUUGAAUUAAAUAUUCCGCUGCUAUGUUAAAGAUAUUGUGAAGUUUA